CCUACGGGUGGCAGCAGUAGGGAAUAUUGCUCAAUGGGGGAAACCCUGAAGCAGCAACGCCGCGUGGAGGAUGAAGGUUUUCGGAUUGUAAACUCCUUUUGUUACAGAAGAUAAUGCCGGUAUGUAACGAAUAAGCACCGGCUCACUCCGUGCCAGCAGCCGCGGUAAUACGGAGGGUGCAAGCGUUACUCGGAAUCACUGGGCGUAAAGCGGGCGUAGGCGGGAUAGCAAGUCAGAUGUGAAAUCCUAAGGCUUAACCAUAGAACUGCAUUUGAUACUGUUAUUCUAGAGUAUGGGAGAGGUAGGUGGAAUGCUUGGUGUAGCGGUAAAAUCCGUAGAGAUCAAGAGGAAUACUCAUUGCGAAGGCGACCUGCUAGAACAUAUCUGACGCUGAGGCGCGAAAGCGUGGGGAGCAAACAGGAUUAGAUACCCUAGUAGUC
rnacentral:rRNA from 1 species